rnacentral:rRNA from 1 species
GAACGCUGGCGGCGUGCUUAACACAUGCAAGUCGAACGGGUCUGCCCUGUUUUUUGCGGGGUGGGUCAGUGGCGAACGGGUGAGUAACACGUGAGUAACCUGCCCCUCACUUCUGGAUAACCGCUUGAAAGGGUGGCUAAUACGGGGUGUUCUGGCUGUGCCGCAUGGUGUGGCUGGGAAAGAUUCACUUUUGUGGUGUUUUGGUGGGGGAUGGGCUCGCGGCCUAUCAGCUUGUUGGUGGGGUGAUGGCCUGCCAAGGCUUUGACGGGUAGCCGGCCUGGGAGGGUGGGCGGUCACACUGGGGCUGAGAUACGGCCCAGACUCCUGCGGGAGGCAGCAGUGGGGGGUAUUGCACAAUGGGCGGAAGCCUGAUGCAGCGACGUCGCGUGAGGGAUGGAGGCCUUCGGGUUGUGAACCUCUUUCGCCGGUGAAGAAGGUCCUGCUCUUUGUGGUGGGGUUGACGGUAGCCGGGUUAUGAAGCGCCGGCUAACUACGUG